CAGUGGUUCUCGUGGAUCGAACCAUUUAUUAAUCAUAUUACGGCAGUUAAUGUGCGGAUGAAACUUCACGAUCUAUUCAUAUUACAGCAGCAGGAACGACAACUAUUAUGCAGUUUAGAAAUUCUAUAUGCUACUUACUGCUGUUCCUAUACACAUAUUUUAGCUAGCUAAACAAUCUGAAGAGACUACCAUCAAAGUUAAAGUCCAUUCCUAAUUCUUGAAAAACCAUCUGAAUAACAAUGCUAGUCAGCAAACUUCCCAUUUGACCCUAUUGCUGUUGGUUAAUGAACUCCAAGGCCGCUAGCACCCUGCGCAGCAGCAAUAAUCGGCUUCAGCUUCAUUUCAUGCUCCUGAAAGACGUCGCUAGUGAUGGCGGGAGAGGGGGCACAAGAUACUGCAUAAAUAGACAGGACAUCAGAAAAGCAUUGUGUAAACAUUAACAAGGAUAAUGGAAAAUAAACAUCUGUGGCUAUGCAGACACACAUUAUCCUAUCAAUUGGCCAGAGAUAAUGAUCUGAUAAAUUGAUAUUACCCUGUCAGUCAAUUGGCCAGACACACAUUACACAACAGCCUUCAUAUAGAUAUUUUCAAUCCCAGCCCAAAUGCUAAGAUACAAGUUAAUGUCCCUUGUCUUUGAACUCACGCUCUCACAGAAAUCAAAUAUAUUACUUUCAUUACAGAAGUAAGUGACAUAGCUUUGAAUAGAACACAGUAAGUGUAGUAUAUUUAGACUCGACUUUUUAAGCAAAAGAUGCACACGGAAUAGAAUCAAGGAUGAAGCAUCAUGCCUUUGAGUUUAUUUUAAAUCUUUGAUAAAAAAAGGUUAAACAAAGAGCUUCUCCAAUUUAUUUGGAAGUCCACAGGGACACCCUGAGGUAUUUGACCAACAACCUCCUUCAUUUUCAGAGAUCCCACCCAAAAAAAGAACGAUAAAACUUUGACAUUGGCUUAUAUUUAACAUUACAGUAACCAUUCAUUUUUAGGGAAGCAUCAAAAGUAACUGAAGCAUUGUGUCAUCCAAAAUAGAAGUAUUGAAGACCGCUCUUUCAGUAGGAUAGAGAAGCGAUAUCAUUCCAAGUAUAGUACUGGAUAUAGGUACUAGACACAGCAAACAAGUGGCGACUGGAAUGUUUAGAGAUCCAGCAUAUUCAAUUUCCCAUAACCCCAUAAAUGAUCUCAAAAUAUUUCACAAAUUAUUAUCUUAAGCACGUCAUUCUUAUGAAUCAGGUAGCUCGACGAAAUCCUCAAUCACUUCCAUGCAACAUUUUGAUAAACCUAUCAAAGUUGGAUUGAAAUCGGAUCUGAAAAUAUUUUUCUAUUCCAAAUCAUACAAAAUUGAGAACUGGAAAGAGAGUGUACCCAAGGCCUGCAUCCAAUCUUGCAAGCAUACCAGUGCUUCCAUAGUGGUAGCCCGUGAAGGAAGAUCAUCCGGAUUAACUCUUUCCUAGCACUUCUUGACUGAAUCUCUCGUUGUCCAAGAAAACUCCUUCAGGAGAUAUGACAGUUGACCUAAGCUGACGGGCUAUACUUGUUACACUUUUCCUAACCUUGCAUC
rnacentral:lncRNA from 1 species